UAUGAUCCUUUUCCAUUAAAUUUAUUUUAAUCUCUUACCUAAUGCUCAUUUUUGUAGGAAAAGUUUGAAAGGAAAGAUGACAAAUUCAUUCAAGUCAAAAAUAGAAGAAAUGUGAGCAAAAAGAAUAAAGGUCGAACUGUAGGACUAGAAAUCGACCCUUAGUUUCUGCAAUCGCGGCCUGAUGGUCAUGAUCACGUCCAGUCAAUAAGCCAGCAUGAGGGCAAUUGCAAAAUGACUACUGAGAUUGCAGCAGUCGCGAAUGGGGUCAAGGAUUGUUGAUCGUAGUUAAGCAGAAAAGAUUCAAGGGUAAAAUUGUAAUUCGUCUAAAGAGACCAAGAGCAAGGUGGCAUUUUUGUAAUAUUGGUCAAAUGUGGAAUUGGGGCUAAUUUAAGGGGUUUGGUAGCUUAUUCCCUAUCAUCCAUAAUUCCAUCACAUAUCUCCCAUCUUUUGUUUAGGGUUUUUGUAAUUUCUUGGAGGUUGGAGCAAGACUUGUACUAAUUUUGAGCUAACAAGAUAUUAGAGUGACAUUUAAGUGUAGAUUUGGCUACACCCAUUAAAGAUUCAUUGGAUUCUAAAAUGUGGUUUGCCCUCUCUUUAUUCUCUUAUAUAUAAGAUGGAAAUAUUUGUUUA
rnacentral:lncRNA from 1 species